rnacentral:rRNA from 1 species
GAUGAACGCUGGCGGCGUGCCUAAUACAUGCCAGUCGAGCGAACAGACGAGGAGCUUGCUCCUCUGACGUUAGCGGCGGACGGGUGAGUAACACGUGGAUAACCUACCUAUAAGACUGGGAUAACUUCGGGAAACCGGAGCUAAUACCGGAUAAUAUAUUGAACCGCAUGGUUCAAUAGUGAAAGACGGUUUUGCUGUCACUUAUAGAUGGAUCCGCGCCGCAGUAGCUAGUUGGUAAGGUAACGGCUUACCAAGGCGACGAUGCGUAGCCGACCUGUGAGGGUGAUCGGCCACACUGGAACGGAGACACGGUCCUGACUCCUACGGGAGGCAGCAGAAGGGAAUCUGCCGCAAUAGGCGGAAGCCUGGCGGAGCAGCGCCGAGUGAGUGAUGAAGAUCUUCGGAGCGGGAAACUCUGUUAUUAGUGAAGAACAAAUGUGUAAGGAGCUAUGCACGUCUUGACGGUACCUAAUCAGAAAGCCACGGCUAACUACGUG